CUCCUACGGGAGGCAGCAGUGGGGAAUACUGCACAAUGGGCGAAAGCCUGAUGCAGCCAUGCCGCGUGUGUGAAGAAGGCCUUCGGGUUGUAAAGCACUUUCAGUCAGGAGGAAGGGUGUGAGUUAAUACCUCACAUCUGUGACGUUACUGACAGAAGAAGCACCGGCUAACUCCGUGCCAGCAGCCGCGGUAAUA
rnacentral:rRNA from 1 species